CCUACGGGAGGCAGUAGUGAGGAAUAUUGGUCAAUGGACGAGAGUCUGAACCAGCCAAGUAGCGUGAAGGAUGACUGCCCUAUGGGUUGUAAACUUCUUUUAUAUGGGAAUAAAAUGUUCCACGUGUGGGCUUUUGUAUGUACCAUAUGAAUAAGGAUCGGCUAACUCCGUGCCAGCAGCCGAGGUAAUACGGAGGAUCCGAGCGUUAUCCGGAUUUAUUGGGUUUAAAGGGAGCGUAGGUGGAUUGUUAAGUCAGUUGUGAAAGUUUGCGGCUCAACCGUAAAAUUGCAGUUGAAACUGGCAGUCUUGAGUACAGUAGAGGUGGGCGGAAUUCGUGGUGUAGCGGUGAAAUGCUUAGAUAUCACGAAGAACUCCGAUUGCGAAGGCAGCUCACUGGACUGCAACUGACACUGAGGCUCGAAAGUGUGGGUAUCAAACAGGAUUAGAUACCCCAGUAGUC
rnacentral:rRNA from 1 species